rnacentral:rRNA from 1 species
UACGUAGGGGGCAAGCGUUGUCCGGAUUUAUUGGGCGUAAAGAGCGUGUAGGCGGCCUGAAAGGUCAGCUGUGAAAACUCGAGGCUCAACCUCGAGACGUCGGUUGAAACCAUCUGGCUAGAGUCCGGAAGAGGAGAGUGGAAUUCCUGGUGUAGCGGUGAAAUGCGCAGAUAUCAGGAGGAACACCGGUGGCGAAGGCGGUUCUCUGGGCCUGAUACUGACGCUGGAGGAGCGAAAGCGUGGGGAGCGAACAGG